rnacentral:rRNA from 1 species
GAUGAACGCUAGCGGCAGGCCUAAUACAUGCAAGUCGAACGGGAUUAAGAGGCUUGCUUCUUAUGAGAGUGGCGCACGGGUGCGUAACACGUAUGCAACCUACCUUCAACUGGGGGAUAGCCUUCCGAAAGGGUGAUUAAUAACGCAUAAAAUAAUUGAACGGCAUCGUUUAAUUAUCAAACUUACGGGGUUGAAGAUGGGCAUGCGUCCGAUUAGUUAGUUGGUGAGGUAACGGCUCACCAAGACUUCGAUCGGUAGGGGAUCUGAGAGGAUGACCCCCCAAACUGGUACAGAGACACGGACCAAACUCCUACGGGAGGAAGCAGGAAGGAAUAUUGGGCAAUGGAGGCAAGUCUGAGCAAGCCAUGCCGCGUGCAGGAAGACGGUCCUCUGGAGUGUAAACUGCUUUUGUUAGGAAAGAAACCCUCGUAUGCGUACGAGGCUGACGGUACCUAAAGAAUAAGGAUCGGCUAACUCCGUGCCAGCAGCCGCCGCGGUAA